GAUGAACGCUGGCGGCGUGCCUAAUACAUGCAAGUAGAACGCUGAAGCUUGGUGCUUGCACCGAGCGGAUGAUUUGCGAACGGGUGAGUAACGCGUAGGUAACCUGCCUCUUAGCGGGGGGUAACUAUUGGAAACGAUAGCUAAUACCGCAUAAAAGUCGAUAUCGCAUGAUAUUGAUUUUAAAGGUGCAAAUGCAUCACUAAGAGAUGGACCUGCGUUGUAUUAGCUAGUUGGUGAGGUAACGGCUCACCAAGGCGACGAUACAUAGCCGACCUGAGAGGGGGAUAGGCAACACUGGGACUGGGAGACGGCCCAGACUCCUGCGGGAGGCAGCAGUAGCGAAUCUUCGGCAAUGGGGGCAAUCCUGAACGAGCAACGCCGCGUGAGUGAAGAAGGUAUUCGGAUCGUAAAGCUCUGUUGUAAGAGAAGAACGAGUGUGAGAGUGGAACGUUCACACUGUGACGGUAACUUACCAGAAAGCGACGGCUAACUACGUG
rnacentral:rRNA from 1 species